CCUACGGGUGGCAGCAGUGGGGAAUAUUGGGCAAUGGGCGCAAGCCUGACCCAGCAACGCCGCGUGAAGGAAGAAGGCUUUCGGGUUGGAAACUUCUUGUGUCAGGGGAGCGUAGAAGACGGUACCUGACGAAUAAGCCACGGCUAACUACGUGCCAGCAGCCGCGGUAGUACGUAGGUGGCAAGCAUUGUCCGGAUUUACUGGGUGUAAAGGGCGUGUAGCCGGGUUGACAAGUCAGAUGUGAAAUCCUGCGGCUUAACCGCAGAACUGCAUUUGAAACUGUUGAUCUUGAGUACUGGAGAGGCAGACGGAAUUCCUGGUGUAGCGGUGAAAUGCGUAGAUAUUAGGAGGAACACCAGUGGCGAAGGCGGUCUGCUGGACAGCAACUGACGGUGAGGCGCGAAAGCGUGGGGAGCGAACAGGAUUAGAUACCCCUGUAGUC
rnacentral:rRNA from 1 species